CAAAUAUUUGGAAACUGGGACAAAUAUGAUAUCUACAUUCCUCAGAAGCUUGCAGACAAAACACAUAGUUACCUGGAUUUUAUGGAAAACGUACAGGACCCAGAAGGGAGCAUAAGGUCCCCCUGAAUUGGAGUUAUGGAUGGAAGGUUGUGAACUACCAGCUGAGAUGAGGUAAAUUGGCUUCCUCAACCAAGUAUUUCUGCCAUUAUUUGCCUCAGGCCAAAACAGCAUGGAAAGUGAACAAAGAAUCUCUGAAACCAUGAGUUAAGGUGUUUCUCAGAGGAAAGGAUCCAGAUAAAGCUGUCUCUUGUGAGACUAUGCCGGGGCCUAGCAAACAGAAGUGGAUGCUCACAGUCAGCUAUUGGAUGGAUCACAGGGCCCCCAAUGGAGGAGCUAG
rnacentral:lncRNA from 1 species